GGGAAUGGUCGGGAUAGC
rnacentral:tRNA from 1 species